GGUCCGAUGGUGUAGUUGGUUAUCACGUCCGUCUCACAUCACGUCACGUGACUUAUCACGGGAGGUCCUGAGUUCGAAACUCAGUCGGACCA
rnacentral:tRNA from 1 species